GGCAGAGAGCUGUUACUUACCUUUCCUGUCAGCUCCCUACUCUCUCCCCCGUUCAGGUAAGCUCCCCUGUCAGCUCCACUGUAAAUCUUGCGAGAGCCGCGGGGAACGCUCCACGCGGCCGCGAGACUUACAGUGGAGCUGACCGGAACGGAGGAGAGAGAAGGGAACUGACAGGAGCUGCAGGAAAGGUAACAGCUC